UGGGGAAUAUUGCACAAUGGGCGCAAGCCUGAUGCAGCCAUGCCGCGUGUAUGAAGAAGGCCUUCGGGUUGUAAAGUACUUUCAGUCGGGAGGAAGGUGGUAAGGUUAAUAACCUUAUCAAUUGACGUUACCGACAGAAGAAGCACCGGCUAACUCCGUGCCAGCAGCCGCGGUAAUACGGAGGGUGCAAGCGUUAAUCGGAAUUACUGGGCGUAAAGCGCACGCAGGCGGUUGAUUGAGUCAGAUGUGAAAUCCCCGGGCUUAACCCGGGGAUUGCAUCUGAUACUGGUCAGCUAGAGUCUUGGAGAGGGGGGUAGAAUUCCAUGUGUAGCGGUGAAAUGCGUAGAGAUGUGGAGGAAUACCGGUGGCGAAGGCGGCCCCCUGGACAAAGACUGACGCUCAGGUGCGAAAGCGUGGGGAGCAAACAGG
rnacentral:rRNA from 1 species